CCCUGGUACCCUGCUGGUGGCGCCUCCUUGCAGCCAUCUGAAGGUUUCCCCCACACACAGCCAACCGCCACCCCCUCCGGCCUCCCACCCCGAUGGCUGUCAAGGUCGCCAUAAGGCAACCUAGUCCAAAUGGCGGUAGGAUAAAACGGUUAUUUUCAGAUUGUCCGCCGAGGGGGAAGACGAAGGGGAAAACGUAUAAAAGAGACGGCGAGAAGAGACCUUACAGGGGUAGGAGGAUAGAAUAAAAAUUGUGAUUUCCCUGCCAUGUGGGGAUAGUGGGCUAGAUAAGGCCUAGACUGUCUCUUUGAAACACCUGAGGAAACAGGGUGAAAGCAAAGAGAGCGUGGGGGGAAAAUUGCUUCCUUUCAAACUGAAUCAGCGUUGAGCCCCUGAAUUUAGUUUGGCCUUGUAUCAUUGUUUCUUCAAAAAUGCCCCCAUUUUGGGUUGGGGAAUGUUGAUCAGUUGCAGAGUGCUUGCCUAACAUAUGGUAGGCCCUGGGUUCUAUUUCCAGCAAUGGGCGGGUAAGGGGCAAUUUUCCCCUACAAUUUGGCUCCUCACCACCUCUCAAAACCUAGCAGUCCAAGCGUAAACUUGCCACUUGUGUUUUGGUUAAGUCUGAGAAAUACAAGAGGGAGCACAGGGUCACUUUUCCUCCCAGAUAAAAAUGUUUGAGGCUUGUUACAGUGGCUUAUACUUGUAAUCCCAGCGACUCAGGAGACUGAGUCAGGAGGAUCACAAGAUUGAGGCCAGCCUGGGUAAUUUAGCUAGGCUUUGUCUCACAAUUUUAAAAGGGUUGAGGAUAUAGGUCAGUGGUAGAGCUCCCCCCCCCCCCGUGUUCAAAUCUCAGUACUAAAUAUAUAUAUAUAUAUAUAUAUAUAUAUAUAUUUUUUUUUUUUUUUUUUUGGGGGGGGAAAAAAGAUGUCUUCAAACAAGUUUGAUGAAGUUUAUUCGUAAAUUAAUGAGGGCAAAAAAGAUUUGAAAUGUGAUUAAAACACUUUAAUUGGUGUAACUGCUCCAACACUGUGUCCUUAGAUAAGUAACUCCCCAGAACACAUUCCAAUUCCUCCUAAAAAAUAAAUGGGAUUAACUGGACUCAAUAGGACACUCCUAUUAUCCAGUUACUCUUCCUAGCUACUGUGGAGGUUGAAAGAGUAGGCUUACAAGUUCAAGGCUAACCUAGGCAAUUCAGCAAGACCCUGUGUCAAAAUGUAAAAGGCCAGUGAUUGGACUGGUGUUGUGGUUUAGUGGGUUCAGUGCUUGUCUAGCAUAUGUGAGGCACUGGGUUUAAUCUUCAGCACUACAUAAAAUGUAAAUAAACAAAGUUAUUAUUUGGGUCGCAGCUCCGGGGGCUGAGGCAGGAGGAUAGUCAGCCUUAGCAAUUUAGCAAAGAGCUAGGCAACUCAUUGAGACACUCUCUCUAAUAAAAUACAAAAUGAGGCUAGGGAUUUGGCUCAAUGGUCUAGUCCCUGAGUUCAACCCUGGGUACCCACCUCCAAAAAAAAGUUAUUAAAAAAAGGUCAGGGAUGUGGGCUGGGUUGUGGCUCAGCUGUAGAGCAUUCACCUAGUAAGUGUGUGGCACUGGGUUCUAUCCUCAGCACCACAUAAAAUUACAUAAAUAAAGUAGAGGUAUUGUGUCCAACUACAACUUAAAAUAUAUUAAAAAAAAAAAAAAAAGUCAGGGAUGAAGCUCAGUGGUAUAUCUCUUGCAUAGCAUGUGAGAGAUCCCGGGUUCAAUCUCUACUACUAAGAAGAAAAGAAGAAAGGGGGUAAUCUUAUUAGGAAGUCUUAAGCUUCUCCAGACUGACCAAAGCUGGUGACACUCACUACUGAAUUUUGAGGUACUACCAGGGGUCCACUGGUUAGGUAGACAAAAAAUUAAUGAAGGAAGGCUGAGUAGCAGAGUGGAGUUUAAAGGAUACAUCAUACCCUUCAAAUAUUUUGGUUUGUUUAAGUACAUGAUGGGGCAAAAUUUGACCUUAAAUUCUAGACUUCUUAUUUGUGAAGAGGAAAGAUUUAAGAUCCAAAUCACUUGAAACUGGGCAGGAUGGUACAGCCUUGUAAUUCCAGCAGCUUGGGAGGGUGAGGCAGGAGGAUCACAAGUUCAUAAACCAGCCUCAGCAAUUUAGCAAGACCUGUCUCAAAAUAAAAAAGAGCUAGGGAUGUGGCUCAGUGGUAGAGCAUCUCUGGGUUCAAUCCAUGGUACCAAAGUGGGGGGGGUGGAGCAGAAUCUAAAUCACUUCAUGAGUGAAAGUUUCUUAAAUUCCAGUCAAGGACCAUCAGUUUAGCAGACAAUCAAGAACACCAGCUGAAGCUGGGCACAGUGGCCCAUGCCUAUAAUCCCAACAAUUCUGGAGGCUGAGGCAGGAGGAUCAGGAGUUCAAAGCCAACCUCAGUAAAAGUGAGGUGCUAAGCAACUCAGUGAGACCCUGUCUCUAAAUAAAAUACAAAAUAGGGCUGGGGAUGUGGCUCAGUGGUUGAGUACCCCUGAGUUCAAUCCCUGGUACUCACCCCACCCCCAACAAAAAACACUACAUGCUUUUCAUUUUGUAAAACCUCUCUCUGGUUCAUGAACAUUGUAUGUAAAUUCAUUUCCUUUUCAUCAUUUUCUCAUUUGUGGAGAGAAGGUCAUUGGUCACCAUCAAGAACAUUAUUCUGGAGCUGGGGAUAUAGCUGAGUUGGUAGAGUACUUGCCUUGCAUGUACAAGGCCCUGGGUUCAAUCCCCAGCACCAUACAUACAUACAAAAAAACACAUUAUUCUGACUGGGCACAGUGGACCAAUCCUAUAAAACUUGUUCACAUCUAUAAUCCCACUGACUCAGGAGGUUGCAACAAAAGUAUCAAGUUCUAGGACAGAUAUAUGAGCUAUAAAUAUAGCUCAGUGGUAGAACACUUGGCUAACUAUGGGGCAGCCUCUGGAUUAGAUACACAGAAGUACGGGGCUGGGGAUGUGGCUCAAGUGGUAGCGUGCUCGCCUGGCAUGCGUGCGGCCCGGGUUCGAUCCUCAGCACCACAUACAAACAAAGAUGUUGUGUCCGCCGAGAACUAAAAAGUAAAUAUUAAAAAAAAAAAAAUUCUCUCUCUCUCUAGACUCUAUCUCUCUCACUCUCAAAAAAAAAAAAAAUAGAUACACAGAAGUAUAAAAAAUGAACUAAAUUUGUCUGAAAUUUUAGAGAGGAGUCCAUGGCAUAACAACAGUCAAUAGAAUAGAAGACAUAAUGGAUAUUGUACUCAGAAUUUGUGUGAAAAUUAAACAUUUUGCUUGGGUAAGAUUUUUUUGGGGGGGGCGGUUACCAGGGAUUGAACUCAGGGGUACUCAACCACUGAGCCACAUCCCCAGCCCUAUUUUGUAUUUUAUUUAGAGUCAAGGUCUAAAUAAAAUACAAAAUAUUUGAACUCAAGAUCCUUUGAACUCGAGAUCCUCCUGCCUCAGCCUCCCAAGCUUCUGGGAUUACAGAUGUGCACCACCACACCUGGCAUAAGUUUAUUCUUAUAUCCAUGUAUGACUUUGUGUGUGUGGUGCUAGGAAUUGAACCCAGGGUCUUGCAAUUACUAAACUAGUGCCAUGUGUGACUUUUAUGGGAAAAAAGUACAUUUUUGCUAUUUGCAUUUUAAAAAUUAAUUUCCAGUAUAUACAAGGAAGUGUACACACACACACACACACACGUUUUGUGUUGUCUUUGUGUGUGUGUGUGUGUGUGUGUGUGUGGUACUGGGGAUUGAACCCAGAGGUGCUCUACCACUACCACCUAGCUAUUUUUUUCUUUAUUUGUGGAUAGACACAGUACAUUUUCUUUACUUAUUUUUAUGUGGUGUUGAGGAUCAAACCCAGUGCCUCACACGUGCCAGUGAAGUUUUCUACCACUGAGCCACAACCCAAGCCCAUACUUUAUAUUUUUAGUUUUAGUAAAUUGCCUAGACUGGCCAGUUUGGUGGCAUAUGCCUGUAAUUUCAGCAACUUGGGAGGCUGAAGACAGGAGGAUCACAAGUUCGAGGCCUGCCUCAGCAAUUUAGCAAGGCCCUAAGCAACUUAGUGACACCUUGUCUCAAAAUAAGAAGCCUAAAGGGCAGAGGAUGUACCUCAGUGGUAAAAUGCCCUUGGGUUUAAUCCUGAUUGCCAAAAAAUAAAAUAAAAAAUUAAAUUGCAUAAGCUGGCCAGGUAUGUUGGCACUGGGUAAUCCUAGCUACUGGGCAGGAGGAUCACAAGUUCAACACCAGCCUUGGCAACUUGUUGAACCCAUAAGUAACUUAGCAUCAAAAAGAAAAAGGGCUGGGGACUUAGCUCACUGGUAAUGAUCAUGUGGGUUCGAUUCCUAGUACCAGAACAUUUUAAAAAAUAAGCCAGGAUGGUAGCACACACCUGUAGUCUCAGUGGUUCAGGAGGCUGAGGCAAAAGGAUCCCGAGUUCAAAGCUAUCCUCAGCAACAGCGAGGCACUGAGUGAGACCAGUGAGACCCUGUCUCUAAAUAAAAUACAUAAUAGGGUUGGACUGGGGAUGUGGCUUAUGGUUGAGUGGCCCUGAGUUCAAUCCCUGAUAACCCCUCGAAAAAAAAAAUUUUUAAAUAAAAAUAAAUAAAUUGUCCUGGCUGACCUCAAGUUUGUCAAUUCAAGAUUUUUUAAAAUCAGGAUCAGAAUCUUAUGGUUUCACAAUAUGGCUUUGAUGCUCUAACAAUUCUUCCUAAGCCACUAAUGGGCACAAGGAGUCUUUUCUUUUUUCUUUUUGUCUCUAUGACAACAGUAAAUUCAAGCCCAUUUUAUUCAGAUGGAAUUAACUUUACCACCCAUAUGAUCUUGGUCUGAUUUAGGUAGAGAAAUUUAUUGUAUCCUCUCCACCUAGAUCCUGUCUGUACUACUUACUGAAUUUGGCACAAGUUGCAAAUAUUUACCUGCUUGUUGAUCAUGAUAUCAAGAGCAUUCUAAUGACGUACCCUAAAGGAAUUUACUUAAAUUUGUGAACAUAGGCUGGGGUGUUACUCAGUGACAGAGCAAGAGUUUAUCAUACAUGAGGCCUUGGGUUCAAUCUCUAGCACCACACACACACACACACACACACACACACACACAACUGUGAAUGAUUAGUCCUUAAGAUGUUUUAGAGGUAUGUCCAUAGCCACUUACUUGAGGUUGGUACCACAGGUUAUAACAUUCACAAUAACUGUCAAUCCCUUUUACCAAACUCAAGAUACAUUUUCUUAAGAUACCCUAUGAACUAUAAGGGAAACAACAAUUGCUGCAUUUUCCAGAGUUUAAUCUUUGGUUGAAAAGUAAAGUGUUUUAGGGGCUGGGGUUGUGGCUCCAAGGUAGUGUACUUGCCUGGCAUGUGUGAGGCACUGGGUUUGAUUCUCAGCACCACAUAUAAAUAAAUAAUAAGUAAAUAAAGGUCUAUCAACAACUUAAAAAAAAGUAAAGUGUUUUGAACUCCCCCUGGUUAAGGCAACAAAAAUUAAUGUGCAUUCAUAAUAACCAGUUCAAAUGAUAGCCAAAAGAAUUGCCAAAUCACCAUUUUAAAUUGAAAAUAAAAAUUUAAAACACUGUAAUUUAAAGUAUAAUUUGUCUCUUUAUUUUAUUUAUUUUGUUUGUUUGUUUUUGGUACUGGGAGUUUAACCCAGGGGGUUAAAUAAUAAAGUGAAGGAAUUGUUGGGCAUAGUAGCACAGGCCUGUAAUCCCUGAGAUCCGGAGGCUGAGGAAGGAGGAUUGCAAGUUCAAGGACAGCCUGGAAAUGUAGAAAGACCCUUUCUCAAAUAUUAAAAGGACUGGGGCUAUAACUGAGCUUUCCUGGACUCAAUCCCCACUAAUGCAAAAACAAACAAGUGAAGGACAGACAGAAACAAACACAAAGGGUCAGGUAAAGCAAUAUAUUUUCCCCCAACAGAUCCUGAAUUGACGACCUGAGAAAUGCAAAUUAGCAGGCAGAGUAUUAUUUUAAAACAUUUGCUCGUAGAAGCAAAAAUAAUGUGAUCAAACAUAGCAUUAGAAGAGAUUUAGGGAUUAAGCAAAUUAGCAAUAGAGAGGAAGAUCCUGCUGACAAGGCAUCACAAGAUGAAGAUAUACCUUGGAAAUGAUGGUUGGGAAACAAAAGAAGCAUCAACUCACAGUAAUUUUCAAUGAAAGGCAUGUGAUUCCAUGAUAUGACUGAAUGAGCUUGUACAAUGAAUAGCCCAGAAAGACAGCAUCUCUGAAAGGAUGCAUCUAGUAGACUCAUUAUUUUUUGGAGCUGGGGAAAAAAAAGUCCUUGAUUAUUUUUUGUAGAAUAUUCAGAGAUAUAACUUCUCCAAAACCUGGCCCCACCCAAUAUAUAAACAAUGUAUCAGAGCUAAACAUAUACAUCAUAAACAUGAUUUAAAUGCUGUGAUGAGGGCCUGGGGAUGUGGCUCAAGUGGUAGCGCGCUCGCCUGGCAUGCAUGCGGCCCAGGUUCGAUCCUCACCACCACAUACAAAGAUGUUGUGUCCGCCGAAAACUAAAAAAUAAAUAUUAAAAAUUCUCUCUCUCUCUCCCUCUCUCACUCUAUCUUAAAAAAAAAUGCUGUGAUGGUAAAGGAAAUAAGGGGCAUUGCCAAGAAUAUGAAGAAUUGGAACCCUUGUACAUUAAUGGUAUGAAUUUUUACAGUUUAAUGAUGGAGCUACUGUGGAAAACAAUUUGGUCAUUACUUUAAAAAAUUAAUUGUAGGGUUGGGGAUGUAGCUGAAAUGGCAGAGUAGUUGCCUAGCAUAUGCAAGGCCCUGGGUUCAAUUGCCAGUACAGCAUUCAAAAGAAAAGAAUUUGAAAAAAAGGAAUGAAAGAAAAAAAAAGGAAAGGAAAAUUGGGCAUGGUAGUGCACAUUUGUAAUCCCAUCUAUUCAGGAGGUUCAAACAGGAGGACUGUGAGUUUGAAGAUAGCCUUAGAAAUUUAACAAGACCCUGCCUCAAAGUAUAAAGUAGAAGGGGCUAGGAAUGUAGUUCAGUGGCCCUUGAGUUUGAUCCCCACUCAAAAAAAAAGAAAAAAAAAAGCCAACAGCCAACAGGUGGGAAAAAACCCAGUGAUAUAGUCAAGGAAAGCAGAGAAAGUGAACUAAGGUCUGAGUGUGAGAGUACCUGUGGUUAUCUGUUUCUCCUUAAUUGUUCCUACAAUGACUUUCUUCACUGAUUCUAUUUGGAACCUGAAUUUGUUGUUGUUUGUUUUGUUUGGGUACUGAGGAUUGAACUUAGGGCCUCACAUAUGCCCUCUAUUACUGAGAUAUACCCCCAGCAUAGAGUCUGGAUUUUGGAAUUCAGAUUGGACUUCAGAUACUAUUUCAACCCAAGGGAACUAUGGGCUGGGCAAAAGAGGAGGAGGAGGGCUGGGUUGUGGCUCAAUGGUAGAGCACUUGCCUGGCAUGUGUGAAGCUCUAGGUUCGAUUCUCAGCACCACAUAUAAAUAAAUAAAUAAUAAGUACAUCAACAAUUUAAAAUUUUUUUUUUUAAUAUUUAUUUUUUAGUUAUCGGCAGAUACAACAUCUUCGUUUUGUAUGUGGUGCUGAGGAUCGAACCCUGGCCGCACGCAUGCCAGGCGAGCGCGCUACCACUUGAGCCACAUCCCCAGGCCCUCAUCACAGCAUUUAAAUCAUGUUUAUGAUGUAUAUGUUUAGCUCUGAUACAUUGUUUAUAUAUUGGGUGGGGCCAGGUUUUGGAGAAGUUAUAUCUCUGAAUAUUCUACCGCUUGAGCCACAUCCCCAGCCCUUAAAAAUAUUUUUAAAAAGAGAAGGGAGAGAGAGAGAUUUUGGGUCUUAGCAUACAAAAACAAAUUCAGAAGGUUCUGGGAGGCAGAGCUUCAGUUAUUAAAAAUUCUACAUAUCCUCCCCUCAUCCUUAAAAGCACAUAAUUACACUGAUAUAGUCAAUCAUACUUUUGUUUCUUUUUUUAUUUUGUGGUGUUGGGAAUUGAACCUAGGACCUGUGCAUGUGAGGCAAGCACUGUACCAACUGGCUAUAUCCCUAGCCCUAUACUUCUGUGUCUUGGCACAGUUUCCAUAAGUCACUUUUUCUUUUAUUCUCUUUUCUUUCUUUCUUUCUUUCUUUCUUGUAUUGAACCCAUGGAAAUGUUUAUUGAAGCAUCAUUUAUAAUUAUUAGAAAGGUUGUGAAUUUCCGUAAUAGGGGAAUUAUUUAUUGCAGCAUUGUUUAUAAAAUCCAAAACAAAUCGAGGGAACCCUCUUGGUUACUCUUCUUUAGCCUCCCCUUUUAUUUUCCUAGCAUAAGCCCAUCUAUGUGUAUGCAUGUAUGUUUAUUUAUUUUUAUUUUUUUAUUUUUUAAAUAUUUAUUCUUUUUUUAGUUUUCGGUGGACACAACAUCUUUGUUUGCAUGUGGUGCUGAGGAUCGAACCCGGGCCGCACGCAUGCCAGGCAAGCGUGCUACCGCUUGAGCCACAUCCCCAGCCCCAUGCAUGUAUGUUUAUGUGUGUGUGUGUGUGUGUGUAUGUGUGCAAAAUUUAAUUUGUUUUCAAUUGCUGGGGCUUGAACCCUGGGCCUUGUACAUGCUAGGUAAGCAUUCUACCCUGAGCUAUACUCCUAACCUGAACAUAUGUAUCUUUUGUUUGUUUGUUUGAUUGUUUUGUUUUAACUUGGGAUUUAAACCAGGGGCCCUUGCACAUGCCUGGAAAGCACUAAGCUACAUCCUCAGCCCUUUUUCUUAAUUUUAUUUUGAGACAAGGUCUUGCUCAAAUUGCCCAGGCUGGCCUUGAACCUGCAAUCCUCCUGAAUAGUUCUAAGCAUAAUUUUUUAAUUCUAUUGAAUUUAUAAUAUUUUCCUUAGUGGCUUAUCCUUUACAUGUUAUAUAGAUAUUUCUAUCUAUACAUGGUUAUAAAGAUAAUUUCUAGCAGGGCAAUGUGGCACAUACCUGUCAUCCAAACUUCUCAGGAUACCAUGAGUUUGAGUCUAGUCCAGGCAAUUUAGUGAAGCCCUGUCUCAAAAAACAACAACAACAACAACAAAAAAAAAACUGUCUAAGGAUAUAGCUCAGUGGUGGUAGAACCAGAAAAAAAAAUCAUCAAUGGAUUUAUAAGACAGUAAGAAACCAAUGGAAACUAUACCAAUGAGGAACAAGAAUUAGAGGGACACUUUAUGUGUAUAUCUUUUUAUAUAAUUUCUGGUGUUUAAACCCUGUGACAAUAUUAAUUAUUUAAAAAUAAAUUACGAGCCAGGUGUGGUGGUCAUGCCUGUAAUCAUAGAAUCAGGAGACUGAGGCUCAAAGCCAGGGGCUGGGUUGUGGCACAGUGGUAGAGUGCUCACCUACCACAUGUGAGGCACUGGGUUCAAUCCUCAGCACCACAUAAAAAUGAAAUACAAAUAUUCAAAAAAGAUAUAAAGCCAGUUAGAAAUUAAGCAAGGCCCUAAGUAAGUUAGCCAGACCCUGGGUUCUAUCCCCAGUAUAAAAAAAAUUAAAAUUAAAAUUAAUUUAAUUAUAUAAAGUUCAUAGUGUGGAUACCUGGGGACUUAGAUUUUAUUUAAUCAGCUUUUUUCUAAUCACACAUCCUUUUGUCCCUGAGACUAAAAUUCUUUCCCUUUCUUUUUAUCUCUAGGUUGACAGAAAUUUCAAUUAACAAGAAACAUUUUUUGGGGCUGGGGAUGUGGCUCAAGCGGUAGUGCACUUGCCUGGCAAGCGUGCGGCCCGGGUUCGAUCCUCAGCACCACAUACAAACAAAGAUGUUGUGCCCGCCGAAAAACUAAAA
rnacentral:lncRNA from 1 species